rnacentral:sRNA from 1 species
AACUGUGACCGGGGUUCAGCGCUCGGGUGAGGAGCUGGUGGCGUCGGCAGGUUCGAGGCGAUUCGAGCUCCAGCUAGGAUGAUCGAGGUUGUUUGCAACGACCGUCUGGGGAAGAAGGUCCGCGUUAAAUGCAAGUAUCCACUGGCAGCCGAGAGGCAGUGGUACCCGCAGGGGUGCUUGGCGUGAGGCAGGCAACUCAAUCUGUGUUGUCGGAUGGUUUUAGUUAAACCCGGGAGAGGGGGCGGAUGGGGUCCUGGCAGAUGGUAUUCUGCCCUAGAAUGUCCUCUUCCUCGUUCUACCGCUUCCAUUUGCCUUAACUGCUCUGCGCCCAGCACGGAUGAUACCAUCGGGGACCUUAAGAAGCUGAUUGCAGCCCAAACUGGUACCCGUUGGAACAAGAUUGUCCUGAAGAAGUGGUACACGAUUUUUAAGGACCACGUGUCUCUGGGGGACUGUAUCCUUUGUAUGACUUUUUGAGGAAGUAUCUACAUACCCAGCCUCGGUUAUCUGUUCAAAACUAAAGUCUGCAUGAGCUUAUGCAUAUUAAGUGUUUAACUUAAUACGUGGCACAUG